rnacentral:rRNA from 1 species
AUUGAACGCUGGCGGCAUGCUUUACACAUGCAAGUCGAACGGUAACAGGCCGCAAGGUGCUGACGAGUGGCGAACGGGUGAGUAAUGCAUCGGAACGUGCCCAAUCGUGGGGGAUAACGCAGCGAAAGCUGUGCUAAUACCGCAUACGAUCUAAGGAUGAAAGCGGGGGAUCGCAAGACCUCGCGCGAAUGGAGCGGCCGAUAUCAGAUUAGGUAGUUGGUGGGGUAAAGGCUCACCAAGCCAACGAUCUGUAGCUGGUCUGAGAGGACGACCAGCCACACUGGAACUGAGACACGGUCCAGACUCCUACGGGAGGCAGCAGUGGGGAAUUUUGGACAAUGGGCGCAAGCCUGAUCCAGCCAUUCCGCGUGCAGGAUGAGGACCUUCGGGUUGUAAACUGCUUUUGUACGGAACGAAACGGUCUGCCCUAAUACGGCGGGCUAAUGACGGUACCGUAAGAAUAAGCACCGGCUAACUACGUG